AGGCUGGCAUUGGGGAAGGUAGAGAAAAGCCAGUGGACUCAAGAUCUCUGUUGGAGUUAGGACUGGUAGAUUUACUGGUGGUUCGCUACCAGGGCUGUGAGAGGAAAAGGGGGAAUCGAGGAUGACCCUCAGCCUGGCCCUUCUGGGGCAGAAUAAUCUGGUAUAUGAGCACUUGAGGAGGAGUGAGGCAGCCGGGCUUUGCACCUGCAUCGGUUCAUCCUGGACGGCCAACAAGGCAGCUGCCGCUGGAUGAGGGCGGCUCUUUGGUGGUGUGAAUUGCGGUGCUGGAACUGGCCUGGAAGCUCAGCAAUCCAGAGAGAUGGGCAACCUUAUUAUUCCCACUUUACACGGGAAGAAACUGAAGCUUACAGAGGUUGAGUCUCUUGUACAAGGUCUCGCUGAGAGGAGGUGGCCGGGCUGGGAUUUGAACCCAUACCUCUCUGCCUGCAGAGCUUGAAUGCUCAAACCAUUGUGCUGCGGGACGUUUGAAGACUACUUAGAGUAGAGACUCUGCCACAAGAUGACUUAAAAUGCGGCGGAUCCAGUGCACGCUCAAGACCUCUAAUUGUAA
rnacentral:lncRNA from 1 species